GGGGCCGUCGUUCAGCCUGGUAGGAUGCGCGGUUCGGGUCCGCGUGAGCCCGGGUUCAAAUCCCGGCGGCCCCACCA
rnacentral:tRNA from 1 species